rnacentral:tRNA from 1 species
AAGAAAGUGGUAGAGUGGGUAUGCGACUGACUUGAAAUCAGCUUAUGGGGGUUCGAUUCCCUCCUUUCUCG